UUUCAGCAAAUUUUACGAAUGAAAAAUACAUAUUUUAACGAGGCUUCUGUUGAAACAACAAAAAAGGGAAUGCUUGAAGAAAUCUGUUAUCAUUUGUUAUUUAUUUUUCUAGUACAUUUUUGUUUCUGGUGAGACAUAGUUGCCUGAUCCAAAUUAUGAUGCCAAUUUUCUGUUUGAACAAAACAAACAAAACAAAGAUAAUACCGGGC
rnacentral:lncRNA from 1 species